GUUGAUUGGGAAACUCAUCAAAUAUAUAUGAAAUACCGAGAACAAUCUCUGUCGGCCGAUGGCGGGCCCCAUUCUCCUUCGGGAGAAGUUCCCCGGAGAAUUCCGGGACGACCAGGCGGAUUACAAAGGACGGCAAGACCUCAAAUCCUGUCUUUCGGAGUUUCAUCGCAUCCUUUG
rnacentral:sRNA from 1 species